ensembl:lncRNA
CGUGAGUCUGUGUAAAUGUAUACGUGUGUGUGUGUGUGUGCAUGUGAGUGUAUGUGUGUGUGUGUGUGUCUGUGUGUGUGUGUGUGUGUCUGUGUGUGAGUGUGCGUGCGUGUGUGUGUGUGUGUGUGCAUGUGUGUGUGUGUGUGUGUGUGUGUGUGUGCAGGUGAGUGUGUCGGGGAGUGUGCUGGAGAUGGCGCUGAACCGCUGGGACUCUCGUGGGGACCUGCAGUGUGACGCGUGGCGUGACUUCUCCUGCUCCGUGUAUGCAGUACAGACAGACGAGGCUGGCUUCUUUGGCCUGUUCAGCGCCAUGCUUCCUGAGGUCCACAUGCUGGUUCUGGAGGCCGUGCCCGAGGCCCACAACACGUCCUCAGAGGCACCUGACACACCUGGAGGUGGGAGUCAGCCAGCUUACCCAGAUUCCACAUCUUCAGUCUUGUCAUCUCUGAGACCACAUCUUCAGUCUUCUCCUCUUACAGAUUCCACAUCUUCAGUCUUGUCAUCUCUGAGACCACAUCUUCACGCCUCUCUCUUUCUGUGAUUCGGAUCUUCCUUCAAUUCUCAAACCUGAUUGGUGAGCCUGUGGGGGGGUUAGUGGAGGAGCGGGAGCUGCUGUGGUCUCGAGGGGGGGGGCACCUCUGGAGGAAGCACAGUAACGCCAGCACUCUGGGGGUGCUGAACCCCACCUCCUGCCUCCAGCUGGGAGACAUCCUGCUCUUCACUGUCAGCAGGGAGCACUUCCCCCAGUACGACAUGUGAGUCUCUACCCCAGUACGACAUAGACAGCCUGUUCAACACCAAUACUGCCUUUGACUGGGGAUCCUUCCGGAAGCUUGCCCAGGACCAGACGGAGAGUGUGCCCACUAUGACCCCCAGCCUAUUCUCAGUGCGCUUCAGUGAGCCCGGGGUCUACGUCCUCAGAUUAAACAGCCACCACAACAAACACAUGUAUGUAAAAGUGAUGCCAGCCGGAGGGCAGUGCUACGAGACUGGACCCUUUUUUCCCGCCAUCUCUCAAUAUCUCACCCGUAUGGGCAUCACUAAGCAACGGCAGCUGCUCCUGCAACCUGAUUGGUUGUUAAUUGGGGGGCUCAUGGUUGGGGCGUGUGUGUUGCUUGGCCUGUGCAUCGCCCUGCUGGUAGUGUUCCGUGAGUACGGCUGGCCUGAGAAGGUUCCGGUGCAGGCUCGGUUCCGGGCACAGCAGCUCCGGUACCGUAUGGAUGACUACUCGUCCAAAGGGUCCCAACUCACCAUGCUGCAGAAGAAGCACCGGAGCCUACAGAUCGCCCUGACCCAAAACUCCACGCACAAAGAUGAGUUCUGGGACUACGAGGAACAGGUGGAUCUGGAGGCCUUCAGUGCCAGCACCUUCUAUGACAUCCUACUGAGGCACAGUGUGUCUGUCACUGCCCGCCUGGGACAACUCAGAGGAGAGGUGAAGGAGCUGUACCAGGGCGUGGUGUGUAAGGUCCAGGGGCUGCAGCUGGGGUGUGUGGAGGUGAGCGCCCCCGGUGGCGGGGACGGAGGGUGCGCCGAGCCGUGUGAGCGCGUUCGGCGGGAGCUGGAGCGGGAGGUGGCGCGGCGCCAGGCGUUGGCAGAGAGGCUGUGCCAGCUGUUGCAGUGCCAGCUGCAGACGCUCCAUCAGGAGCUCCAGCGCCAGCGACACACACACAGGACGCUGCGGGCGCGACUCAGGACCAGCCUACGGCUGUUGGGGCAGGCCGCAGACAGCCCUCAGUCACGCAGUGUGCUCCAGUGUGUGUGUGCCCUGGCGGAUGAGCUGGAGGAGCUGGUGUUGGGGGAGUGCCAAAGGGAGGGUGUGUGGGCGGGGCUUAAAGAGGGCACAGGUGCCCGCCUCCUCUGCCCAGCCACGGGCGCCGUCCUCACCAGGGAUGACAUCAUCGCGUCUGACGGCGCCCUGCAGGCCUGCCAUGCCCUGCACGUGGACCCUGUGAGCGGCCUCAUCCUGCCCAACCCCGGUGCCCAGAUGCUGCUGUCUAACGGGCACAGCAUGCCCGUGCCCCCGGACUUUGUCCUUCACCCCCAGACUGGCCGCCUGCUCCCGGCCGCGGGCAACAUCGGCUUCGACCCCCACAGCUCCACGCUCGUGUUUACCACAGACGCCUGCCUCGGGAAUGCUGGGAAGUGGGAGGUCCCUCUGCUGCCGUUCGUCCCGUACCCCACCCCCCGCCCCGGGGAGCGCCCAGAGGGGUGUGGCCUGCGUGGGCUGCGUCCGGGGCAGAGGCUGGCGCUGGGGGGGCCCAUGUGUGACCGGGACACCGGGGUGCUGGUGCCCAUCCUGGCCGUGACGCUCCACCCCCAGACGGGCCUGGUGUACCCGCUGGGGGGGGUGCACCUGUGCCCCAUCACGCGCCUCCCGCAGCCCAUACAGGUGGGGGGACCCAUGCUGGACCCUCGCACCGGCAGCCUGGUGCUCAUCACAGGGGUCACCAUGGAGACCAGCACAGCUGCUGUUCAGCCUGUGGGGGGUCUCCUGCUGGGGGAGUCCUUCAUCGAGCCCCUGAGCGGGCGCCUCGUGCGUGUGGGGGGCGGCAGCAUGCGGGGGGGGAAACUGGUGCCUCACGCGGGGGGGUUCCAGGUGCUGCUGGAGGCCCAGGCCCUGGGGGCGGGGGCGCGCGCUGUGGAGCUGCUGCAGGGGGUGUGUGGGGGCCGGGGGGACGGGGGGGGCUGCAGCGGGAGGUGGGCCGCGUGAGAGAGGCAGCCGUGCAGCAGGAGCAGGCCUGGAGGUGCAGCCUUCACUGCGGCAUGCAGCUCUGCGCCCGCAUGGAGGCCACACACACCUGGGCCCGCAGCAUCCUUCACGACGGAGGCAGCAUCGGCGAGAUCCAGUUGCCCAGGUCGGACCUGUCCCUGCCUGCCCUGCCGGGCCUGGAGUAUCCUGACCCGGGUGGUUCGGGUCUCAGUGUCCCGGUGCUGGGGGCGCAGCUGGACUGGCAGACGGGCCGCAUGGUGCCACUGGCAGGAACUAUGGAGGACGCCGAGGGCAAAGGGCUGGUCCCCAUCCGUCUGGGUGCCCCGACGGUGGACCCUGUGACUGGGACUCUGUCUCCGGUGGUGGGGGUUCGUCUGGACGCGGUGAAGAGGACGGUGGUGCCGCUCACUCCCUCUCACCUCAGCAGCCUAGGGGACAGCACUGACAGUGUGCAGCUGGACACCCUGCAGAAGGAGGUGUGUGUGAGAUUAUGCUACUGGAGACAGCAGAGGCACAAAGAGGAGGAGCUGCUGGGAGACCUGGAGGCAGCACUCAGACACACACACACGGUGCAGUGGGCGGAGUGUGAACACCAGCUGCGUGAGGUGGUGCAGGAGCUGCAGGAGGCUGCGCAGAUGGAGACGCAGAGGAGACACACACACACCGGCGAGCUCACACACCUGCUGCCUACACACAUAAUCAACAUCCUCACACAGGGUGAUGAGGAGGAAUGGGAGCAGCAGUGUGUGUGGCAGACUGAGUUGGUGACGGGACUGAACAGGAUCAGUGUGUGUGUGGAGAGGAUGCAGGAGCAGGAAGAGGCCAAAGCUCAUCACGCACUCCAACUGACUGGAUUAGGGAGACAGAGAGACGUGUGGGAACAGCUGAGUGUCAGACAGUCAGACCUGGAGGCGGCUUUCAUCUCCGUCCUGUGUGUACGAGAACUCAGCCAGAUACGUGCAGAAACGGCCCAGGCCAUGUUGUCGGGCUCGUUCUGGUACAGUGACUUCAGCCUGAGUCAGCUGCGGGCCCCUCCUAACCCACUGAAGGCCCUGGCCCUCACCCAGUUGAAGAUCCUGCCUCACCUGGAUCGACUACUGCAACACCUGGACGACACACACGGCCAGCACAGCUCAGGCCUGUCAGUCAAGCAGACGCCUGGAGGAGUAGAGAACUGUUCCCGAGAGUGGACUGCCUCAGUCUCUGUUGUCAAGGGAGUCUCACCUCAGUCCCUGAAGGAGCAGAUUAAGUCCCGCCCAUCAGAAGAGCAAGACGGACCAUUGGUCAAGGAGCGACAGGGGAAGAGUCCAACCAAUCACAAUGCAGACCUGCUGACUGUGAGGGAUUGCGCUCUGCCCCGCCCCAUCAGUAUUCCUGUGCUGACAGAGGGAGAGUGGGCCCGUGUUCUGGAGCUGUCCCCCCUCUUCCAGCUGCUCUGUGGUUUGGAGCAGCAGCUCCGGUGCCGAGCGAAAGAGAUGGGCCUCUUCACAGGAGACAGCAGCGACAGGGGGCGCUCUUACCUGGACUUCCUGGAUGCUCAGUGGGAGUGUGAGGGGCAACUAGUAGCCGUUGGUACAGAGUGUCUGAACACGCGAGAGCAGCUUAUCUACCAGCACGGCCAGUUCCUGCUCCAGACGCUACACUCACACAGAGUGGUUCCCCUGGUGAAGCUUCAGAUAGCCUCCAGUUUGCCCUGUAAUAACUACCACCAAAAUGCCUUCAGAAAGUCCAUCUUCUAUCAGGAGGAGGAGGGGGUGCUGUACGUCCGUCAGCAGAGGCUGCAGUCAGUGGGGGGCUUCUCCCUGGUGCUGCUGCACUCCCUGGCCCACGUGGCGUGUGGGGAGAUGGACUCCGACUCAGGUCCCGCCUUCCAGAGGACCUUCUUCAAGGCCCUGCAGGUGUGCCUGGGCCUGUUGUUCAACGCUAGACUGGGGAUGCCCAGCCCAGGGCCAGCUUCCCCCCCAGCAGACAGCUCUCACAAUGAUGCCCCACUAACUGCCUCCCUUCUCCACGGGGCUCAGACGACUAGAGGAGGGGCUCACACAGACAACAACGAGAUGCUGGAGAUCCUCCAGAGGCACAAACAAGCGGCUGUGUUCCUUCAGCUGGAGGCUCUGCUGAAGGGGCGGAGCCUGGAGGGCCGGGACCCUGACCCUGUGUUGGAAGAGAACUGGACCCUCAGAAGGGGGACAUGACUCACACACACACACACACACACACACCCUCAGAAGGGGGACAUGACUCACACACACACACACACACACCCUUUAGAAGGGGGACAUGACUCACACACACACACACACACCCUUUAGAAGGGGGACAUGACUCGGACA